UAAGGCAGCAUACCAAUGCUUUCUCCUCAUAUGGAGCAGGAAGGGGAUUGUCACACUACUGGCUAACCUUAACCAAGUCGUAAAGGACUUUACUCUGCUACUCCACCAAGAAUCCAGGUCCCUCCUGGUAGCCGGCGCCAGUUGAAGAUCUGUGACAGAUGGGGCUAAAUCACAAACUUGCAGCCCGGGGCGGAAUCCAUCCGCAGAACUUUCCAAAGUGUGCCCAUAUUUACCUGAUCACAGAUAAGAAGUGGUGGGAGAGGGGACCAAGGAGAUGGAAAGAGGGGUGGGAGGGGGAUAGAAGAGGGUGGAGGGAGGGCUGAGGGAGGAAAAAAUCUGCUGGGGAAGCCAGAGAACUGGCUGCCUGUCAUAGCUGACACCGAGCCAUCUGCCACAAACCUGUGGCGGCUUCAGAUCUCCCCUCCCUGCCACCACCCAGCCCCCAAAUUAAACACAGAUCUAUACAGACCUUAUGAUAGCUACACAUGACACCAGCUUCACAUGCAGGGCAACUUUUCCUUUAGUAUUUUCAAGAAAAAGGGAUAGGAACGUAUAAGCACCCUCAUAUAUCCCAUAUGUGGUGCCACAUUGAAUUUCCGGUUGAAUCUGUUUUUAUCCUUUGUACUGGAUGACAUGGUGACGGAAUUCGUUCUUUCUUCGACGUGAUGGCGGCCAAGCCGCAGCCUUCAAACGCUCUCUACUUGGCUGCGCCUCCACCUAGGUUGCCAGGUUAUCGUGGUGUCCUCUGAGGGCCACAGGGGCUGAAGGGAGGAUAAGAGUGCUUCUGGACUAAUUGGGCAUCCAUCCAUGCAUUGUUUUUCAGACGAGUAGGAGAGGAGAGGGGGAGAGGAGAGGGGGAGAAUGAAGAGUAUCGCUGCCUUGCUUUAGCAAAUGAAUGAUUCCGGCAGAGGGGUUUUUAAGUGAAGGUAUUAAUAAGGGUUCUGGCAGGUAUUCCCAUGAUUCACAGUGUUACAUUUGCAUUUAAUUAAUCUUGAAGAAAGCUGGAAGAUAAACAGCUGUAAUUCAGACCAGCACUGGGACCCUGCUGCCACCUAUCUGAUGAAAUCAGAGCCAAUAUGUUUGUUUUAUUUCACAUGAUACACACACCCCUCCCUCCUCUCUCACUCCUGUUCUCUCUAAGUAACAUCCUCUUUCUGCCUCCCUUUCGAUCGGCAAGUUAGCUACUAUGCAAAUUAGCAAUUAGCAAUUUGCAAAUUAGCUAUUUAUAUAUUCUUAUUUAGAGAAAGUAAAGCAUAUUCUGUAUAAAGACAGCUUUGCUUCGUGGCACUACUACCACUGUCUAUUUUUUCCCCCUAUACAAUAUAAUGUUACCACCGAAUAUUUAAUAAAAAAAAUCAAAAUAAUAAUCAAUUCCUCCUAUCUGUGAUUGUCUCAUCCUGUUGGAGACCUAAUAAUCUUCCAAGUGUCUGAGAUUAAGCCGCUAGCAGUAUAGCAACAGACAUGAAACAUGAGGUGGCAGAUCUAAUUGGUGAACAAAGGUGUGUUGUUGUGGCUACCGAAUACGGCUUCCAGUAUCGGGGCUGUUGCACCUUUUAAGCUCGUGCUUUACUCCGUAAUUAACACAUGCCUCCAGCCUUCUGAACGUGGCAAAGUAAUGGUGUUGCUCCUCUCUUCGUAACGUUUUGCCCACUGUAGUGCCCACAGCAGGAAGAGACAGCUAGUCAGCCAGCGUCGUUAGAGCCAAUCGGUGGCUUUCGUCUGAGCAGCCCACUGAACCUUUCCUCACAAUAUGCCUCCUUUUCGUCGUUAUGUUCUCUGGCUUUCACAUCCACUAGUUGUUUUCCUUUUUUUUGUACUUUGGAACGCUUGGGGUAUGCCACCAGGCCAAGAAGAAAAAAAGCUUUGUACAAAAAUCAGUAGAAAGAGUAAUGGUUAUAGGGGAGGAGGGAAAAUAGGGAGAAGUCUAUUGAUAAGGCACAAUGAAAUGUAUCAACUCAAGUCAUUGGAAACUUUUGUUUAACUGUAAUGACAUUUUGAUGAUACACUGUGUGUGUGUGUGUGUGUGUGUGUGUGUGUGUGUGUGUGUGUGUGCGUGCGUGUGUAAAUAUAUCUGAGCAUGUGUGUGUAAAUGUGUGUGUGUUGCAUUUAACUAUGGUAUUAAUAGACUUUGCUGAGGUUACGUGGGCCCUUGGGUACAUGGUAAAACUGCCCUACUACACAGUCAAGCGUGCAGCUGUAAUCUAGCCCGAGGCACACCUACCCACAGUCACUAUCUAAUGCAUUUUACAUUUUCACAGAUGAAAAAGAGAGGAGAGGGGGGGGGAGAGAAGGACUUUUCUUCCUUUGUUCCUUACGUCACUUGACACAGGGAGACCGUAGUGGAGGGUUUUGUUGCUCUCUAAUCUGUAAUUAAGAAUUCUGUGUACAAGGCCUCUGCAUUGUGGCUGGUUCUCUGGCUGACAAAUAUUACUAUGGGAUCAUGGACGAUAAAUGGCUAAACUGGAAUAAUAAUGGUUUUAUGUAUACUGUGGGAUAUUUGAAUCUUGAGUAGCCCCGGGACAAUGUUAACUGUUCAAUUGCUCUCCAGAGUUUGUACUUUGACGUAAACUGGUUGGUAAGAUGAUGUCUUCCUGUAUUUCACUGAUGGCCUUUGAAACUACCUAAGUUAUUGAAGUUUUUCUAUUCAUUUGAUCUAUUUCUAAUUAUUUACAUCUCACAACAUUUGAGGUGAGGAGGCCACACCACAAACAAACAUACAGUAUACCCAUAGCAGCCUGUUGUUAAACUUUUCUCUGCUAUGAUCCGGACGUACAGUACUGUGGUGUUCUUUGUGAAAAGCUGCCAAAAUGCUCAUAGAGGAAAAUUUAAUUCUUGACAAAUCGGACUUCUGGGAGCUUGGAUCUCUGCCAACUUCAUCAGGCCUUUAAAAUCGCAACAAUCCAUAAAAUUAAAUAAAAAAUCUCACUUUUUCCCGACCUGUAAACUAAAAAAAAUAGAUACUUGUACAAAUAUUGAAAGUAUCCCUGCAGCUGAAUUUUUCACUCCCUAGUCACUCAUCACCAACUUCUAAAUAACAGGCUUGGCAGACGCAUCUCUCAAUCUCAUCUCAUCACAGCUCCUGAAUCAGAGUGUUAGGCUGGGGCUAUGCUGACGCGGAGAUGCUGAGUUGCCAAACCAAAAAAAAAACACAAAUCUCUAACCCCCCAACAACUGCCGGCCCGGUUCCCUUGUGUGUUUUCCGAGAGAGGUGUUUCCGGACAUGCUGGCGGUCAUGCUCCGAUAUCACCUUCUUUUGACCGGAAUUCGGCCUCCCCGGCAUUUCCCAGUGUUCCCAUCUGUUUCCCGGUGAGCGAAGCGGAGCGCCGGCACACCUAGCUCCAAGACUGCUUAGCUUAGCUGCAGAGCAGACAGAGUGAGCCUUGUGGGCCAUGCUGUCUGAUGGGCCUUGGCCCCGCAUCCUCUCUGACCCCAUACUACUCAGACUCUACCAGGAGGCCUUAAACUAUACAGGAGGUCACCCUCUAUGUAUUUUUCUGGAUGAAUUGGAGUACGAUGGAUAUGAGUUCCAUUUCCUCUGCUAGGAGGGUGUCUUGUGUUAUAAUUUAAUGUAUUUGUUGUUGGUACGUUUAACGGUAUAUUGCAUUUAUUGGCAAUAUUUGUACAUUUGUGGGAUAUGGGUUAAGAAAGUGGACUAGGUGCCGUUGAGGCGCUCCAUGGCCUGGCUGUCAGAUGUCUCUAAAGUACCUCCCCACUGUUCCAUCUACACUCUCUCCUCUCAAGACACUACAGUACAUUUCUGAACUGCCUAUCAUCUAAAGCUGUGGAAGACCAUCACAGGAAGUACAGCCGGAUACCUACAGUACAUUGGUUUUUGUUAAAUUGUUUUUUGCUUAUUUUGUUUCUAUAGCGACUUUGAGAUUCUACUCGUAAUGAAAAGCACUUCAUACAGUAAAAUACAUAUAUUACCAUUAUAAGAAUACAUUCCCGCACAUUAUUUUUUAUGGCAGUUGCAAAAUAGGUAUCUAAAAUAAUAUGCAUUAUCCUCUGUGUAUUAUUUUUGAAAGGGUAUCAAUCCCAAACCCAAUUAAAAUCCCAAACCACUGAUGUUUCCUGAUA